CGUGGCGCACGGGUGAGUAACAUGUGACUAACCUACCCUGGAGUGGGGGAUAACUGAGGGAAACCUUAGCUAAUACCGCAUAACACCUACGGGUCAAAGGAGCAAUUCGCUUCAGGAGGGGGUCGCGGCCGAUUAGUUAGUUGGCAGGGUAAUGGCCUACCAAGACGAUGAUCGGUAUCCGGCCUGAGAGGGCGCACGGACACACUGGAACUGAAACACGGUCCAGACUCCUACGGGAGGCAGCAGUGGGGAAUUUUGCGCAAUGGGGGAAACCCUGACGCAGCAACGCCGCGUGGAGGAUGAAGUCCUUCGGGACGUAAACUCCUUUCGAUCGGGACGAUUAUGACGGUACCGGAAGAAGAAGCCCCGGCUAACUUCGUGCCAGCAGCCGCGGUAAUACGAGGGGGGCGAGCGUUGUUCGGAAUUAUUGGGCGUAAAGGGUGCGUAGGCGGUUUGGUAAGUCUUUUGUGAAAUCUCUGGGCUCAACUCAGAGUCUGCACGAGAAACUGCCGGGCUGGAGUGUGGGAGAGGUGAGUGGAAUUCCCGGUGUAGCGGUGAAAUGCGUGGAUAUCGGGAGGAACACCUGUGGCGAAAGCGGCUCACUGGACCAUAACUGACGCUGAUGCACGAAAGCUAGGGGAGCAAACAGGAUUAGAUACCCUGGUAGUCCUAGCCCUAAACGAUGAUCGCUUGGUGUGGCGGGUAUCCAACCCUGCCGUGCCGAAGCUAACGCGUUAAGCGAUCCGCCUGGGGAGUACGGUCGCAAGGCUGAAACUCAAAGGAAUUGACGGGGGCCCGCACAAGCGGUGGAACAUGUGGUUCAAUUCGA
rnacentral:rRNA from 1 species